UUUAGGUGGAGUCAUAAUUUCCAUAUUUAACUUUAAUCAUCUAUCUUAUUAAAAAAAAUUUAAUCAAUAUUUUUAUUAUUAUUAUAUGAUAAAGUAUGAAUAUUAUUUUAUGCAUAACUUACAUUUUUUAUUUUUUAAAUAAAAUAUCAAAUAAGAGAGACGAUUAUGAUUGCGUUUAAAAUAGGAUGCACGGAGU
rnacentral:pre_miRNA from 1 species